rnacentral:rRNA from 1 species
UACAGAGGGUGCAAGCGUUGUUCGGAAUUAUUGGGCGUAAAGGGCGCGUAGGCGGCUGAACAAGUCAAAGGUGAAAUCCCUCGGCUCAACUGAGGAACUGCCUUUGAAACUGUUCGGCUUGAGGCCGGGAGGGGGUAGCGGAAUUCCCAGUGUAGCGGUGAAAUGCGUAGAUAUUGGGAGGAACACCAGUGGCGAAGGCGGCUACCUGGACCGGUUCUGACGCUGAGGCGCGAAAGCGUGGGUAGCAAACAGG